UGGACCGCAUACGUCGACCCGGGGGAUUCAACCAGGCCGUUGGGCACGGGACGCGCGGAGGUUUUGCUGAGCUGUAAAGCCAGUGCUUUCGCGUGGGUCUCCGGGCGGACUGGUGCACUUUCCUCGGGUCGAUUGCCACGACCGGCUCUCCGUGCGGCCAAAAGCCUGUCGCUGGGAAGGUGACCGACGGCCUCCGUGCCGGCGGUGUUAUAGCCCAGCUCGUUCGUUGUGCUCGUCGGAGGGCCGAGGAAGUGUUGCCGCCUCUCAAUCACCCUCCGGCCAUCCUUGCUCGUCACGACUGGGGUGGACUGCUUCGUCAGUGCUCUCCCGACCGCGAGCGUAGGAAGGGUUGGAACGGUGCGAGAAGCUUCGGGCCAGUGGCGAAUCGGUCGGUCCUCCACCCGACCCGUCUUG
rnacentral:rRNA from 1 species